GAAUGGGGAAAUCUAAAACGAUUAGGGGUUAAAAAUGAAAUGGAGUUAUAUGUAUAAAAUGAAGUUAUGAAAGAAGUCGUACCAAAUCUAAAGGGUCAAAAGACUCAAGCUCUCCAUUUGUUUCUGUCAGUUCGCUGAAUCUCUAGAUACAACUUGCAAUCUUAUUUACACCGCCAAAAACUUAGGGGACGAUGGUGACAU